AGAUGCUCUAACUUUGGCUUU
rnacentral:snRNA from 1 species